CUAUAAGACGCUGUCGCUUGCGCGGCAGCUGACCAGCGGCCCGUCGCGAUGUUCAAGUGAGCGGCAGCCGGAAGAAGGUUCGGUUGGUGGUGGUGACCAUUACCUCAGCCUUUAGGAAUGUUCUGCGCUGCUUGUAGAGUGAAUUGGGGGGCAUUCCUCCUGGGUUAAGGUAGUGGGUUAGACACAGAGUCAUAUGAACCCGCUGGAGCUUUAGUUUCUCGCAUGCCCCCGGGGCGUCCUGGUGUUUGAGAAAUUCUGAGUUGGAGCUGGAGCAUGGUACCAGGUAUAACCUUCCUGAACUGGCUAUGUGCAAGAAGGCUUCCUUCAGAGAUUUCAGGCAUCCUCCAAGAAGCCAAGUUAUGGAAUCCACACACACACAAAAAUAGAGAUCUAGAACCAGACUACAGGAGUCUUCACUCUGGGCCAUGCUUAAUACCAUCUUAGAUCUCCAGCUGUCAAACAGUAAGCUAAUGACAGUAGUCCUUUAAUUGUGUGGUUAAUUAUAUGUUUUCAUUGGUUUUGAACUAUUCCUCAGUCUCUUCAUUUGACCCAUAAAAUAGCAGUCUUGUAGAGAAUGUGACUUAAAGUUAAAUAGUGACAGUAUUUGAACUAGAACCUAGAUCUCAUGAUUCUUAGUGCUCUUUUUAUUUAGCAAGCAAGGUCACACAUCCUCAUGGGUAAUACUUAACUUAUGGAAAACAUGAUUCAGAUAGAGAUUAUAAUCUGCACAGAAACUGAUAUUUUCUAUGUGUAUUAUAUCUAGAUUUUCUGUGGAAAUAGUACUGCUCUUUACCCAGUUGCUUAAAUCAAAACCCCGGAGUUAGCCUUGAUUCCUUCCUUUCCCUCAUCUUCUUCAUUCAAUUCACUAUUGUCUUGUUAAUUUAAUGUCCGAAAUAGAUUGCAAAUACAACUUCUCUUGCCACUGCCACUAGCCUGGUCCAGGUUAUUUAUUUUAUUUUUUUUUUUUUGAGACGGAGUUUCGCUCUUGUUACCCAGUCUGGAGUGCAAUGGCGCGAUCUCAGCUCACUGCAACCUCCACCUCCUGGGUUCAGGCAAUUCUCCUGCCUCAGCCUCCUGAGUAGCUGGGAUUACAGGCAUGCGCCACCAUGCCCAGCUAAUUUUUUGUAUUUUUAGUACAGACAGG
rnacentral:lncRNA from 1 species